ensembl:lncRNA
AGAGUUUCAUUUUUAUUUUUCAUUCAUAUGCUAUUCAAUUUAGCAUUACUUUGGAUUUAAAAAAAAUUAUUUCAGAUGGGGUUGGAAGUUUGGUUGAGACUAUAAUUGAUUUCAAAAUUGCUUGUUUAAAUCUCCAUUGCUAGGAAGCAUGUAGGAAAGAUCUCUGCUGAACCCUCCCACUCAAAAACUCCUUAUGUUGGAGUCAUUUUUUGGUAAUGAUUGAACCCACACAAAAAAAAUGUGUCCACCAUCAGAGGGCAGGCUGGCAGUACAGCUCAAUCAUUACAAGAAAAUGACUCCAACUAAAGGAUUCUUUCCGUGUUGUAAACCUCUACACCAGAGAGUUAAAAUAACCUCAGAAAUGUGAACAAAAUAUGGACUAUAACCCACUCAAAACUCUGCUCACCUGCCUGCAUCUAGACAUAUACUACAACUGUAAAUGAAUUAAUUUGAAUGAAUGUAAUUUCACCAAACAAAAUGUUUUAUUCAUGUUUUGUUUUGCAAAACCUUUUGCAAAAAAACAUAUUAUAUUGUCAGAAUGAAUAGGCCUAUACCCAAUCAAAAUCUUAAUAGUUAUGAAAUGUUUUGUGCCCCCCAUUUUGUUCUUUUUAUUUCCGUUUGGUGAAACAUUUUGCAACUAAACAUUUUGUUUGGAGGAAUAAAUACACUGUGGCUUCACAAUCUCAUAGGUUUUAAACUCAGAGGCGCAACAUCACAAGACUUUCGGCAACACUUCUUUGACAGACCAGACAGGGGUUUGACAAGUCAAUGGAGUAUUGAAAAUGUUUUGGUUAAUUCUAUCCAAAUGUGAAAGGUGUUUUGACUUGGGGAUGGGGUAAGCAUCCAAUGGAGAAAUCUGUAAUUUCUUGGUUGUUAAGAAUCUACUGUUCGCUCAGUAUUAGUUAGAAAUCGUACACAUGGGGGAUAGAUUCCAUAUAUAGCACCUUUAAGGUAUGGUUUCCUGGACACAGAUUUAGUCUUGUUCUGGACCUAAAAACGAAUUAUUUGGAAAUGCUAAGUAAAACAUACUUUAUGAAAUUCAGUUAAAUGUCCAUGUAUUAUAAUAGAGGGAUAGAAAAUGUUACUAAACAAACCUCUAAAAUGUAUAAUGCAAGCUGAUUUGUAGAUUGGUCAAGGAGUAAACACCUGCAAUUGUUUUGAGCCUUUCCACCAUAGACAUCUUAUUUAAAGGCUAGACGUCUCAAGGCGCAGUCACUUCCGGCAUCACCGGUGGCCAUCUUGUCACAGGCAGGCUUCCUGUCGGGCUCUGUGGUACCUAAUAUAAGGACGGCAAUAUGUCCUGACCUACAGGUUCAGCCAGGACCACUUGGAGCUUCUCUUCAACUCCAUCAGAGUAUCUGCCAGUUCAAGUACAUCUUUAGGAUGUAAAGCUGAUGGCCCAGUGGGGGGUUGUUAAACCAUGCAGAGGCAAUGUGACGGCACAGGAUGACACAGAGUCCCUACCAGCUGUCAUCGACACAUCUACAAGCCUGUCAGCUGUAGAUGUGUCCUCUGCAGCAGGAGGAGAAGAUCUUCCAUCCCCGUUUGCUGACAUUCCUGCCCUAGUACAUGAUCACAGCUACCUUCCCGUCCACUUCGAUGGUCUUGUGGACAACGCUCUCAUGUACAUUUCAGGCUCUGAAGAAGCGGUCGUGUGAUGUCUGCCGUGCCAGCCUGGUGACAUGCUGCAUCUGCCAUCAAGGACCAGAGCUACCACGUGCUGAAUUUAAAAAACAAUGGAGGUCUGGUGAUUCCAUCAGAGGGAACCGUGAGUGUCGUCAGGGCAGCAGAGUGGGUCAUUCGGCAGUCAUCAGGCAGUACCAGACGAUCACAGUCCAUCAAACUGCUUGAGGUUGUUUACAUUGUCUGAAAAAGGAUCUGUUCAGAGGAUGUUUGUGUUGGGAUAGACAGUAUGGGAUAGACAUCCACCACCAUCGACUGUUUUCUAAGUUAAGGCUGCACCACAUCGCCAGAAUUACAAUCCUCAGCUUACAGAGCAACAGCAUGCAACAGAAACUUAAUAAAACUGUCCUUUUCAAAGGGCAUUAGCCCAAGGUAUGGGUUUUCAAGGUACUGUCCUCUUUUACUUCAACAGUAGUGUAGUGCUCUCUACAGCAUUUAUUUAUUUGUAUAUAUAAAUGAUUUAUUUAUAUUUGUAAAGGGGAAUCAUGUACCUAUUUUUUGUGUGCA